rnacentral:rRNA from 1 species
GAUGAACGCUGGCGGUCUGCUUAACACAUGCAAGUCGAACGAACUCUUCGGAGUGAGUGGCGGACGGGUGAGUAACGCGUGAGGAAUCUGGCUGUGGGUCGGGGACAACCACUGGGAAACGGUGGCUAAUACCGGGAUGAAGCCGAAAGGUAAAGAUUUAUUGCCCACAGAUGAGCUCGGCGUCUGAUUAGCUAGUUGGUAAGGUAAAGCGUACCAAGGCGACGAUCAGUAGCUGGUCUGAGAGGAUGAGCAGCCACACUGGGACUGAGACACGGCCCAGACUCCUAC